rnacentral:rRNA from 1 species
UACGUAGGGUGCAAGCGUUAAUCGGAAUUACUGGGCGUAAAGCGUGCGCAGGCGGUUGUGCAAGACAGAUGUGAAAUCCCCGGGCUUAACCUGGGAACUGCAUUAGUGACUGUAUAGCUAGAGUGCGGCAGAGGGGGAUGGAAUUCCGCGUGUAGCAGUGAAAUGCGUAGAGAUGUGGAGGAAUACCGAUGGCGAAGGCAGCCUCCUGGCCUAAUACUGACGCUCAUGCACGAAAGCGUGGGGAGCAAACAGGAUUAGAAACCCCAGUAGU